rnacentral:tRNA from 1 species
GCUUGUAUAAGCCUAAAUUGGUAAGGCAGGAGAUUGCUAAUCUCUGAGUAGUCAGAUUCAUCUGGCGUUCUGGUUCGAGUCCAGAUGCAAGCGCUA